rnacentral:rRNA from 1 species
UGCCAGCAGCCGCGGUAAGACAGAGGGUGCAAACGUUGUUCGGAAUUACUGGGCGUAAAGCGUGUGUAGGCGGUGAGGUAAGUCAGGUGUGAAAUCCCACGGCUCAACCAUGGAAGUGCACUUGAUACUGCUUCGCUUGAGUACUGGAGAGGUUGGUGGAAUUCUUGGUGUAGAGGUGAAAUUCGUAGAUAUCAAGAGGAACACCGGUGGCGAAGGCGGCCAACUGGACAGAUACUGACGCUGAGACACGAAAGCGCGGGGAGCAAACAGGAUUAGAUACCCUGGUAGUCC